rnacentral:rRNA from 1 species
GUCAAAUAAAUGAAGGCUUACGGUGGAGACCUAGGCACCCAGAGACGAAGAAGGGCGCAGAUACCGGCGAAACGCUUCGGGGAGCUGGUAACAAGCAUUGAUCCGGAGAUUCCCGAAUAGGGCAACCUCUAGAACUACCUAUACAAUUCAUAAUUAGGAAAGAGGCAACCCGGUGAACUGAAACAUCUCAGUAGCCGGAGGAAAAGAAAGCAAACGCGAUUCCCGUAGUAGCGGCGAGCGAACCGGGAACAGCCUAAACCAAUCGCAAGAUUGGGGUAGUGGGAAGACACUGAAGUGGUAUUGAGGCGUGGAUUCCAAAAAUGUUUGAAAUCCACAGCCCCAAUACAAACCAAAAACGAACUAUCGAUUCUAGACGAAGCAGCUGAAUCCUGCACCAUAGAUGGUGAAAGUCCAGUAGUCAAAAGCGAAUUCUUGGCGUCUGUCAAGAAGAAAGAUAGAAUGUCGAAUCCCGAGUAGCAUGGGGCACGUGGAAUCCCGUGUGAAUCCGCGAGGACCACCUCGUAAGGCUAAAUAUUCCUGGGUGACCGAUAGCGAAAUAGUACAGCGAUGGAAAGGUGAAAAGAACCCCCGUAGGGGAGUGAAAUAGAACAUGAAACCGUUAGCUGACAAGCAGUGGGAGGGUGUAGAACCUGACCGCGUGCCUGUUGAAGAAUGAGCCGGCGACUUAUAGGAAGUGGCAGGGUUAAGGAGUUCGAUCCGGAGCCCCAGCGAAAGCGAGUCUGAAUAGGGCGUUUCGUCAUUUCUUAUGGACCCGAACCUGGAUGAUCUAACCAUGACCAGGAUGAAGCUUGGGUAACACCAAGUGGAGGUCCGAACCGACCGAUGUUGAAAAAUCGGCGGAUGAGUUGUGGUUAGGGGAGAAAUUCCAAUCGAAUUCAGAGCUAGCUGGUUCUCCCCGAAAUGCGUUGAGGCGCAGCGGUAACGAUGAGCUGUCUAGGGGUAAAGCGACUGUUUCGAUGCGGGCUGCGAAAGCGGUACCAAGUCGUGGCAAACUCAGAAUACUAGGCAUUGCUUUCCGUUAACCAGUGAGACGAGUUGGGAUAAGCUGAUUCGUCAAGAGGGAAACAGCCCAGAUCACCAGCUAAGGCCCCUAAAUGGCCGCUAAGUGGAAAAGGAUGUGAGAAUGCUGAAACAACCAGGAGGUUUGCUUAGAAGCAGCAAUCUGCCUUUAAAGAGUGCGUAAUAGCUCACUGGUAAAGCGUUCUUGCGCCGAUAAUGGCCGGGACUAAGCGGCCUGCCGAAGCUGUGAGAUUUUCGAUUUUCGAAAAUCGGUAGGGGAGCGUUCUGCUUCGGGUGAAGCUAUCAUGUCAAUGAGAGUGGACGAGGCGGAAGUGAGAAUGUCGGCUUGAGUAACGAAAACAUUGGUGAGAAUCCAAUGCCCCGAAAACCUAAGGGUUUCUCCACUAGGUUCGUCCAUGGGGAGUUAGUCAGGACCUAAGGCGAGGCCGAACGGCGUAGUCGAUGGCAAACAGGUUAAUAUUCCUGUACUGUUUUGGGUGGGGCCCGGGUGACGAAGAAGGCUAAACUAGGUCUGUGUGAGGAAUGCAGUAGAAGCGUUCAAGGUGAUGACAGGUCGAACAAAAACGAUCCUGGAGCUGAGACGUAACCCCGUUCUCUGGAACUUGUUCCGGUUGAACGCUAGUGAUGUCAUACUUCCAAGAAAAACUCGUACACCUCUCUUCGGAGAUCCAACACCCAAAGCACCUGUACCUUAAACCGACACAGGUAGGUGGGUAGAGAAUACCAAGGGGCGCGAGAGAACUCUCUCUAAGGAACUCGGCAAACUGGCCCCGUAACUUCGGAAGAAGGGGCGCCCUUUCACAAAAGGGUCGCAGUGACCAGGCCCAGGCGACUGUUAACCACAAACAUAGGUCUCCGCAAAGUCGUAAGACAAUAUAUGGGGGCUGACGCCUGCCCAGUGCCGGAAGGUGAAGGAAGUUGGUUAGGAUUUUUCCGAAGCUGACGACCGAAGCCCCGGUGAACGGCGGCUGUAACUAUGACAGUCCUAAGGUAGCGAAAUUCAUUGCCUGGUAAAUUCAGGCCUGCACGAAAGGCGUAACGAUCUGGGCGCUGUCUCGGAGAGAGACUCGGUGAAAUAGACUUGUCCGUGAAGAUGCGGACUACUAAUACAAAGACAGAAAGACCCUAUGAAGCUUGACUGUAUCCUGGAAUGGGGUUCGGGCUUUUCUUGCGCAGUCUAGGUGGGAGGCUUUGAAGAUUUCCUUCCGGGGAAAUUGGAGCCGUCAUUGAGAGACCACUCUGGAGAGGCUAGAAUCCUAAUGGUGUUCCUUGAAUCAGGACACUUGACAGUUUCAGGUGGGCAGUUUGUUUGGGGCGAACGCCUCCUAAAAGGUAACGGAGGCGUGCAAAGGUUCCCUCAGUCUGGACGGAAAUCAGACAUUGAGUGUAAAGGCAAAAGGGAGCUUGACUGCAAGACCUACAAGUCGAGCAGGGGCGAAAGCCGGCCUUAGUGAUCCGACGGUGCCGCGUGGAAGGGCCGUCGCUCAACGAAUAAAAGUUACUCUAGGGAUAACAGGCUAAUCUUCUCCAAGAGUUCAUAUCGACGAGAAGGUUUGGCACCUCGAUGUCGGCUCAUCACAUCCUGGGGCUGUAGUAGGUCCCAAGGGUUGGGCUGUUCGCCCAUUAAAGUGGUACGUGAGCUGGGUUCAGAACGUCGUAAGACAGUUCGGUCCAUAUCUUGUAUUAGCGCUAGAAUAUUGAAGUCAGCCACUCAUAGUACGAGAGGACCUGUAGUGGACAUGCCAAUGGUGUAUCGGUUAUCUCUCCCGAGGUAAACGCCGAGUAGCUAUGCAUGGAGUGGAUAAGUACUGAAAGCAUCUAAGUACGAAGCCCAGACUAAGAUGAGUAUUCUCCAUUAGGUCGCAGGAAGACAACCUGUAGAUAGGUAUCAAGUGUAAGAUCAGUAAUGAUUUCAGCUGAGAUAUACUAAAGACCAAUUGACUUUGAC